rnacentral:rRNA from 1 species
CAGUCGCCACGGUAACACAGAGGGUGCGAGCGUUAAUCGGAUUUACUGGGCGUAAAGCGUGCGUAGGCGGCUUCUUAAGUCGGAUGUGAAAUCCCUGAGCUUAACUUAGGAAUUGCAUUCGAUACUGGGAAGCUAGAGUAUGGGAGAGGAUGGUAGAAUUCCAGGUGUAGCGGUGAAAUGCGUAGAGAUCUGGAGGAAUACCGAUGGCGAAGGCAGCCAUCUGGCCUAAUACUGACGCUGAGGUACGAAAGCAUGGGGAGCAAACAGGAUUAGAUACCCGCGUAGUCCCUGUCUCUUAUAA